rnacentral:rRNA from 1 species
UACGAAGGGGGCUAGCGUUGUUCGGAAUCACUGGGCGUAAAGCGCACGCAGGCGGAUUGAUAAGUCAGGUGUGAAAUCCCGGAGCUCAACUUCGGAAUUGCCUUUGAUACUGUCUGUCUUGAGUCCGGGAGAGGUGAGUGGAAUUCCUAGUGUAGAGGUGAAAUUCGUAGAUAUUAGGAAGAACACCAGUGGCGAAGGCGGCUCACUGGCCCGGUACUGACGCUGAGGUGCGAAAGCGUGGGGAGCAAACAGG